CACAUUACUAGAUACGUUACAUGAAUAAUCAACUUAAAUGAAAUAAAUUUUGACUAUCAAUUAACAUGAUGAUUAAUAGGAGUAUAGACAAAUAAAUAUAACAAUAAAUUAUUUACUCAAAAAUUAUUAUCCAGGUAGUAUUUUUAUGUCUAACUUUUUAAAAGUACUGAAAUGAUAAAACAGCACUACUUAUUUCUUUAAAGAUACAAAGUAAUUUUUAGUUUUGGUUUCUCGCUUCUAGAUAGAACUUUUUACUGCAGAGUUCCCCCAGAAACUCCAGGGAGACAGGAGAAAUACCAUUAUCACUGAUGGUACAAAGCUGGAGUAUACAAAAGAUUAACUGGCAUGUUCCAAAUCACACAUAUAUGUGAGACCUGGAAAUUCAGUUUGGGCAUAUAGGCUUCAUGUUGUGAUCAAGCCACAGACAUUUGACUUCUUCCCAGUUCUCUUCUUUACCCUUUUAUUACCCAGGUAAAUGCAGCUGUUCUGGGAUGCCAUUGCUAGUUCCAAAAAUCAUUUUGAGGUCAUUAAUUUUCUUCGAUCCUUUAUCACCCACUCAAAGAAGUUUUCAGACCUUCAGUCAAGGAUGAGAAAAGGAGCCCUGGAGUGCAGGUAGCAGAGUUCUCAGCAGCAUACUCUUAAGGGUCCUUCAGAGUCCAACCCCAAAGUUACUGAAGAGGAGAACCUAGACUACUGAAAGGAAAAGAAAGAAACUAUUCACUCCAUGAAAAGAC